UUAAAUGCCCAGACACGAAGGGCUCCCGGCAGGGAGUGGAUCGAAUCUUCUAAGCUGGCAGAGCACCGAGUCCUCCACCUGCCCAGGCUCAUACAACCGUCCCUGCAGUCGUGUGGGCUGGCUGCUCUUCUAUCCCCUUUCCCAGAUGGUGGAACCGCAGCUGGAGGGGUUGGCCCUCGCCCCAUACCAUGUCACUGAGUGGAAUUGGAGCCCAUGUUUCUGACGCUGGGAGCAAAACCUAAAACUACUAAACCUAAGCCAAGUGCCCUUCCGGAAAAGUGUAAGUCACAAACCAAGCACAUAAAAGGUUUCCCUACUCCUAUAUCUUCCCAAUAAAUGGAUGAAGCAUUUA